rnacentral:rRNA from 1 species
UACGGAGGGUGCUAGCGUUGUUCGGAAUGACUGGGCGUAAAGCGCGCGUAGGCGGAUCGGUAAGUUGGGAGUGAAAGCCCGAGGCUUAACCUCGGAAUUGCUUUCAAAACUGCCGUUCUGGAGUAUGGUAGGGGAUAGUGGAAUUCCUAGUGUAGAGGUGAAAUUCGUAGAUAUUAGGAGGAACGCCAGAGGCGAAAGCGACUAUCUGGGCCAUAACUGACGCUGAGGCGCGAAAGCGUGGGGAGCAAACAGG